CAGAGUCCAUCAGAGCUGAGCUGCUUUCAGACGACUCCGUCUUGUUGUGGAUGCUGAAGCUGAUCAUGGUUCUCCUGUGGAUGAUCCUGUUGGUGCUUCUGCUCUGUGCAGAGGCCGAGAAUGUGAGAGAGGUCAGAGGAGAGCUGGGGACCAAUGUCACUCUAACCUGCUCCAAUCAGACAGCAGACACACACUGGUACAUGGAGAUCUACAGUCAGUUCAGAGCAUGUAUCGGCCGCAGUUUUUCCUCAGCAGGCUCUACCUACUGCUCUCCUGGUUUUGAAACCAAAUUUUCAAUCCUGGGAAACAAACUGAUAAUUAAAAACUUGACAGCAGAGGACUGCAGGCUUUACUUCUGUGGCAUCGAGAGAGGAGGCAGCAUUCAGUUUGUUGAAUCUUUCCACCUUGUCUCAAAUGUCAUUGUUCCUCCCAACGACCCACAGAACGACUGCUAUAAGAGUCGCCUCAUCAUCAUCUGUGUCUCAGUGGCUGCCUUUAUCAUUCUGAUAAUCAGUUUUGUCGUCAUAUUGCUGUGCUUGAAGAGGAGCAAAUACUACGACCGAUGCUUCAGGUCACAUCUGUGACGCUACAGAGCUACUGCGGGCUGUGCAGGGUAGGUGACCCUCUUCCAGCAAGACAUCACGGGAGGCCGAGAACGUGACCGAGGUCAGAGGAGAGCUGGGGACCAACGUCACUCUAAACUGGUCCAAUCAGACAUCAGACACAUACUGGUACAUGGAGAUCUACAGUCAGUUCAGAGCAUGUAUCGGCCGUAGUUUUUCUUCAGCAGUCUCUACCUACUGCUCUCCUGGUUUUGAAUCCAAAUUUUCAAUCCUGGGAAACAAACUCGUGAUUAAAAACUUCACAGCAGAGGACUGCAGGCUUUACUUCUGUGGCAUCAAGAGAGGAGGCAGCAUUCAUUUUGUGGAGACUUUCCACCUUUUAUUAGAUGCAUCUACCAGCAACCCACUGAAGGACUGCAUCAUGACUCAGUUCAUCCUCACGAUAUCCGUCUCAGUUGCCGCUGUCAUCAUUCUGAUAAUGGGUGGGGUUUUGAUACUGCUGUGCUCGAGGAAGAACAAAAGUAGCAAACAGGUAGAAGAGCCUUCAGCUCACAUCUACGAGAACGCAGAAACACUGUGGGCUAUUCAGGGCAAGGUGAUCCACCCCUACCGAGCAAGACAUCACUGAACGAGUUCUUUCAGACGCUACAAGACUUCAUUUGUUGUAUUUCACUGAAAAACAUACAAACAUUUGUGCACGUUUCUUCUCUGCAGCAAAUACAUUAAUUUUUUGCUAGUGCUGUAGAGCGUUAAUCUCGUUAAAAUGAUGUUAACGCCAUAACCGCGUUAACGCGACAAAUCUGCAUUAGCGAGUCAAUGUGGAUCGCCCCGUGCGUGGGGCUGCACAGCGUCAACGCAUAGAUUUGCCACGUCAGUGCGGUUAUGGCGCUAACGUCAUUUUAACGAGAUUAACGCUGACAGCACUACAUUUUGUAUAUUAUCAGGCUUGUUGGAAGACAUCUGUCCACUUGAGAUGUAAAACUUUCCAAUCAUAUGGAAAGUUGUACGUUUUAAAAGAUAAACUAUAAGCUGCUGUCAAACCCUGUCAAGAUGGAAUCUGAAGACAGACAAUGAUUCAAACUUGUGGGUUCAUUUUGCAGUAUUAGUACUAGGUGGAGGCAAUAACAGUAUUUAUGAUACUAACAGAAAUUUUAUAAAAUACACUGAGGAGUAACAGUAGUAAAAGAAGUACAAACAUAGUUAAUGUCAACAUCAUAGGUAGUAGUUUUCGUUAAAGUUCUUGAAAAUGGAGCAGUAAUCUAUUAAUAGAUGUAGUAAAGUCUACGUUUGUGGUAGAACUGAUGCAGUAGUAAUAACAGUAAGGAUUAUGGGUAGUUUUUGCAGGAAUUUUAUAGCGUUACUGUCAGACAGGAUGGGGUUGGUGGGUAAAACGUUUCCUGACUUCUUCUUUUCUGCAAAGAUUCUGGCAACGCCUGAAGAAAAAGUAGAAAAGAGGAAAUAAUUUGAAGUGCUAAUUUUACAAACGUUUCCAGGGAAAUAUGGCUACUCCGCAUGACUUCACCAUUAAAAUCCUACUGUCAUCACUUCUUCUGCACACAACGAUGUGGCUGAAUUUAACUUUAAAGUCUUCACUCUCAGAAACAGCCAAAUGUAUUAGAUGUGCUGAGUGUGUUGGGAGGUUCUUCAGAACCACUGAGGUAUCUGACGUACCACAUCUUUUGGUGUGCAGCUGAUCACUUAUGUAACAGAUGGUCCCUACAGUCAUGUGUAAAAACUAGAUUUUUGCCUUGAAUAAGAGUUUAUAACUCUGUCAGGCUGGAGAUGGAGG
ensembl:lncRNA